AGAGUUUGAUCCUGGCUCAGAACGAACGCUGGCGGCAUGCCUAACACAUGCAAGUCGAACGAGAUCUUCGGGUCUAGUGGCGCACGGGUGCGUAACGCGUGGGAAUCUGCCCUUUGGUUCGGAAUAACAGUUGGAAACGACUGCUAAUACCGGAUGAUGACGAAAGUCCAAAGAUUUAUCGCCAGAGGACGAGCCCGCGUAGGAUUAGCUAGUUGGUGUGGUAAAGGCGCACCAAGGCGACGAUCCUUAGCUGGUCUGAGAGGAUGAUCAGCCACACUGGGACUGAGACACGGCCCAGACUCCUACGGGAGGCAGCAGUGGGGAAUAUUGGACAAUGGGCGAAAGCCUGAUCCAGCAAUGCCGCGUGAGUGAUGAAGGCCUUAGGGUUGUAAAGCUCUUUUACCCGGGAUGAUAAUGACAGUACCGGGAGAAUAAGCUCCGGCCAACUCCGUGCCAGCAGCCGCGGUAAUACGGAGGGAGCUA
rnacentral:rRNA from 1 species